rnacentral:tRNA from 1 species
GCGGCGGGCGGCGCGGCGGGCGGCGCAGGCCGUGCGGCGGCCUCGGCGUAGCCCGGGGCGUUCGUGACGCCGCCGCGGUA